AGGUAAAUACCUGGAACUAACUGUCCCUAUGACGAUGUAGCCUGUGAGCCCAAGGGGUCAACCAGCACAGACCAUGUAGCAGGUCUCCUGUUGAGCUCCUCUCUGAAUGAGGUAGGUGUGGUUGAGACCAACAGUCUGAGGAGGAGACAUCUCAGUGCCCUUGAGGAAGGAGGUGGCAGUGGGAGUAGUGGUGGAGGAGGAGGCCAUGACUGGCAGGGUGUGCGAGGGUGCAGACUGAGUGGAGACAACAGGGUUGGCAGUGGUAGCAGUGGCACUCCAGUGUUGGGUCUGGGACUGCACCAGGGAGAGACUGACCCAGCCAGGAUAGCAGAAAACCUGGGGGCAGACACCAAGAUCCUCCUGGGGACCAGCUUCAGCCAGACCAACAGGCCGCGGUCGUUAGUCCUGGGAGGGUCAGAGGGGAUUGGAGCAGCCGGGGGAAGA